AUGCUGGGACAGUCCUUUCAAGAAACCCUCCAAAAUCUUCAAACCCUGACUCAGCUCCUCCUUCCAGAAGAAGGCUGAGGCUUCUGUGUCUCAUACACAUGUGGGGCAUCUCAAAGGUGGCUGCUUCCUCUUCCCUCCUCCACAUUCUUCCUGAAUCCUGAGUCUCCAAGGAAGAUUGCUCACUCCUCCAGGACUCCAGGGUGUUCAGGCCACAUCAGUCUAGGGCUGUGUGAGUUUCCUGGAGCUGCUAUAACAAGUGACCACAAUCUGGGUGGCUUAAAACCACAGACUUUUAUUGUCUCACAGUUCUGGAGGCUGGAAGUCCAAAAUCAAGAUGUUGGCAGGGCUGGUUCCCUCCGAGAUCUGUGAGGAGAAUCUGUCCCAGGCCUCUGCUUAGCUUCUGGUGGUUUCCUGGCAACCUUUGGCAUCCUGUGGCUUCUAGAUGGAUCAUCCAGUUCUCUGCCCUCAUGUUCACAUGGUGCUGUUUAUGUAUGUCUGUAUCCAAAUUUCCCUCUUCUUGUAAUGACAUCAGUCAUAUUGGAUUAAGCAUCCACUCUUUUCCAGUCUGACCUCAUCUUAAUUUAACUAAUUACACCUAC
rnacentral:lncRNA from 1 species